CGCCUCUUGACAUAAUAUAAGAGGCCCAGCCUGCCCGGUGACAAAGUUUAACGGCUACGGUACCCUGACCGUACGAAGGUAGCAUAAUCACUUGUUCCUUAAAUAGGGACUUGUAUCAACGGCAUCACGAGGGCUGCACUGUCUCCUCCCUUCAAUCAGUGAAACUGAUCCCCCCGUGAAGAAGCGGGGAUUAGACCAUAAGACGAGAAGACCCCAUGGAGCUUUAAACACGUACUCACACUAUACUUACACGUCCCUUAACUAAAAGCCCUGAGUACAAGUUUUAGGUUGGGGAGACCGCGGAGAACAACUAAACCUCCACAACAAAUGGCCCUUAAGUCCUUAUCCACGAGCUACACCUCUAAGAAUCAACAUACUGAUGAUUAUGACCCGAUAUUAUUCGAUUAAUGAACCAAGUUACCCUGGGGAUAACAGCGCAAUCUACUUCAAGAGCCCAUAUCGACAAGUAGGUUUACGACCUCGAUGUUGGAUCAGGGUAUCCUUGUGGUGCAGCAGCUACUAACGGUUCGUUUGUUCAACGAUUAAAAC
rnacentral:rRNA from 1 species